UCUGAAGCCCGACUUGAGCGGAAAUCCUUUUUUGCGUGUACUCAAUUUCAACAUAAUGGAAAUCGUCGGCAAAAAAGAUUGGGAGCGGAAGGCGGAAAUAGCU
rnacentral:sRNA from 1 species